GGGUUGAUGGUCUAGUAGUAUGAUUCCUUGUUAGGGUCGAGGAGGUCCUGGGUUCAAUUCCCAGUCAAGCCC
rnacentral:tRNA from 1 species